CCCAUGAUCACAUAAUAUUAGAAUAAGCGAGACCCACGUAUUUAACCAUUACAAACGAUUACCAACAACUUGCCUAUAAAAAGAAAGUAAAUAAACAGUAUUCGUAAGACACUUCUGGCUAAUACUCUGUCACUUUGAAUUUUCUAUCUACGGAUUACCACUUUUCACUGACUUAAGCAUCGGAGGAUCCUUGUCGGAUAU
rnacentral:lncRNA from 1 species